UACGUAGGGUGCGAGCGUUAAUCGGAAUUACUGGGCGUAAAGCGUGCGCAGGCGGUUAUGUAAGACAGGUGUGAAAUCCCCGGGCUUAACCUGGGAACUGCACUUGAAACUACGAUGCUGGAGUAUGGCAGAGGGAGGUGGAAUUCCACGUGUAGCGGUGAAAUGCGUAGAGAUGUGGAGGAACACCGAUGGCGAAGGCAGCCUCCUGGGCCAAUACUGACGCUCAUGGCACGAAAGCGUGGGGAGCAAACAGG
rnacentral:rRNA from 1 species